rnacentral:rRNA from 1 species
UACGAGAGGCCCAAACGUUAUUCGGAAUUACUGGGCUUAAAGAGUUCGUAGGCGGCAUGAAAAGUAGGGUGUGAAAGCCCUCGGCUCAACCGAGGAAUUGCGCUCUAAACUGUCGUGCUAGAGGAACCUAGAGGUGAGCAGAACUGAUGGUGGAGCGGUGAAAUGCGUUGAUAUCAUCUGGAAUACCGGAGGCGAAGGCGGCUCACUGGGGGUUUUCUGACGCUGAGGAACGAAAGCCAGGGGAGCGAACGGG